UACUUCAGAGGAACUGUGCAGAGUGAUUUCGUGUUGUUUUGAUACCUCACGAGAAGACUAGAAUAACUAGCUGCUGCUACAGAACGAAAUGAUCAAUUCACAGUUUGUCUGUCUUGUUCUCCACACACCAAGAUCACGUGUUUUCUAUAUGCACAAGAUAGUUUGACUAUAUAAGGCUUCUGAACUCCGUGUGUCAUCGAGCUCUCGGCCAACUACAUUAUUGCAAUUCUUAUUGAAAAGGUUGAUUGUUUGAAGAAAAGUAUCUCCUUAUGGGUUACAAUUUUCACCAGAAUGUGCAGUAACAAUGUUAGCCCAGACUCAUAGUACAGAAUGAAUGACUGACUUGAUCGUUGAUGCUAAUCAGCAUAUUUGAAUCUGAGAGUAAAUAGAGCCGACUACACUCUAAAAAUUAAGGGUUCAACUGGAGUUGUUCUCAGAUCCCCUAAGAACCGUAGGGUUCCGAAAUGUUCUUCAAAUGACUUGUUAGAAGGUGGGUUCAUCGAGGAACCUCCGUUGUUGCUGGACUUCUUCCGGGAACUUCGCAAUUACAACUGAAAACGCUGGUGGCAAGUUUGGAUGCGACAACAGUUAAAAAGCCUUCCUCUCCCCUGAAGACCCAGUGAGGGCGGAGCUCGGUCAGAAAACUGUUGAGGGACUGGUUAUGAAGAACACUUCUACAGCCAGAGAGGGGCAGUCAAGAAAUGGAACAGCAAAGCCACAGAACAUGACAUAAGCAGAGCUGUGGGAGACCAUCUCAUGCUCCUGGUAGAGCCAGGGGUGGUGUUUACCACGCCUUCAGCAGUCUUGAAAAGUGGGAUUGAUACGGUUUUUCAUACUAAGAUGGACCAAGAGUCUGUUGAUUGGUCAGUCACUGGGUUAAUUUGUUUUAUGUUCAAAUCAAGCUUUAUCUAUACAGCACAUUUCAGACAUCGUUCAACACAAUGGCAAUGGAGAUUCGAUACGUGCUAACGAGCUAUACGUGCUAACAAGCUAUACGUGAUAUACGUGCUGAAGUCCAACCUCGAAACAUAAAUGGAAUAACCAAAGCCUGUAACACCUUCCCCUUUAAGACAACAAAUAUAUUCUAUAUUUUGUUGGACAAGUUUGCUCACUACCAACAGAAAACAACUUCCAUUUCACAUUAUAAUCAAUUACAAUGCUUCACCAAUAUAAACAUGGUUUCUCCUGGCUGUCACCAAUUAAAAACAAGAAAAAACAUUUUUUUUAAUAUUUUUUAUUUUUCUACAAUCUUAUUUUUUGAAAAACUCACUAGCUUCUAGAACUCUUCUCCAAUACGGAAUAACGUGCAGUCAAAAUAAAUUGUGAUCCAUGGCAACGCACUAGCUAAACACAAAACAUUUUUGACUGCCCACCAUUGAGAAUUUGUGCAACCAAGUUGUCCUUACCACGGUCUGAUUUCAAGAGGGAAUUCCUGCAAUAUCUGUAGUAACUUUCCACCUCACUGCACAGCUUCUCUCUCUUUUCAGGGUUCACUAGAUAGGCAUGUUGUUGGAUCGGGGCCCAGUCCCCAACGUCAUGCUCUAGUACAUUUGGGUUGGCAUAUCUGAGAAUGAACCCUGAUAUUCUAAAAGCAGGGCAACAAUGUCAAUAUAAUUUGCACCCAAAAAUUGUCAGUUGGUUACAUAAAUAAUCAUGAUUGCUAAAUAUUACAUGAAUUGUAAAUAUAAAAUAAACACCAAAUGUACACCCCUUUGUUCAUAUGUAUUGGCAAUAAUUCACUUAGGAUACACCCUUUUUUUCAAUUUUCACCUAAAAUGACAUAGCCAAAUCUAACUGCCUGUAGCUCAGGCCUGAAACAAGAAUAUGCAUUUUCGUGGUACUAUUUGAAAGGAAAUAUUUUGAAAUUUGUGGUAAUGUUAAAGGAAUGUAGGAGAAUAUAACAGAAUAGUAAAAGAUAAUACAAAGAAGAAAACAACCGUUAUUUUGUAUUUAUUUUGUACCAACAUCUUUGAAAUGCAAGAUUAUGUCUACUAGAUGGCAGCAG